rnacentral:lncRNA from 1 species
CAUUUUCCCAUCAACUCUAACUAAGAAAAAGAAAACCCGGUUCCGGUAACCGUAACCGAAACCAAACACCAUACCGACACCACUUCUCAUUCACCACUAUGCCUCCUAACCACUUAACUAUCUCUACUAAACCACUCGAGACUUAAACCACGGAAAACAUACUACCCGAAACCAUUUCUGGUGAAGAAAUACAAAUUCUGGCGAUACUUACGUACUUUCCGACGACGUCUUUCGUAACCGAAACGUGUUUUUGACCAAGGUUUAUACGAACAUGCUUGACAAGUUUAUAUAUUUUAAGACGACAAUCAAGAAACAAGGCUCACAGGUUACUUUGGGCAGGGUGAAGAGUGAAGAAUAAACCCUAGGAUGUUAACCGAAGAUGUUUGUCACUUUUAUAAAAUAAAUAUAUAUUUUAGGUCUGAGGGCUAUGAACCAUAUUUUGAAAUAAUCGGUGAUAGUUGAAGAGCAGUCUGCAGUGGAUGACAAAU